rnacentral:rRNA from 1 species
GAUCCUGGCUCAGGAUGAACGCUAGCUACAGGCUUAACACAUGCAAGUCGAGGGGAAACGACAUUGAAAGCUUGCUUUUGGUGGGCGUCGACCGGCGCACGGGUGAGUAACGCGUAUCCAACCUGCCCACCACUUGGGGAUAACCUUGCGAAAGUAAGACUAAUACCCAAUGAUAUCCCACGAAGGCAUCCGAAUGGGAUUAAAGAUUUAUCGGUGAUGGAUGGGGAUGCGUCUGAUUAGCUUGUUGGCGGGGUAACGGCCCACCAAGGCAACGAUCAGUAGGGGUUCUGAGAGGAAGGUCCCCCACAUUGGAACUGAGACACGGUCCAAACUCCUACGGGAGGCAGCAGUGAGGAAUAUUGGUCAAUGGGCGAGAGCCUGAACCAGCCAAGUAGCGUGCAGGACGACGGCCCUAUGGGUUGUAAACUGCUUUUAUAAGGGAAUAAAGUGGGUCACGUGUGACUUUUUGCAUGUACCUUAUGAAUAAGGACCGGCUAAUUCCGUG